rnacentral:snRNA from 1 species
GGAAUAUUAGCAUAGUCCCUGUGCAAGGAUUACAUGCAAAUUCAUGAAGCAUUCCAUAUUUAA